UUUUACUACGUCUUACGUGGUGAAUAGUUAUGUUGAUGGUAUAGGGGCACAUUAUAACCUCUACUUUGCGUAGGUGUAUAUAGGUAAUAAGCACUGAUAGUAUUCAUUGUGUAAAUCAGGGACAGAAUUAUAAGAUAAUAUAGGCGAUGUAUUCGAUGUAUAUAAAGCCUACCCCGUGACUAAGACCAUAGACAUCCUAAUUAGAAAAUGGGAAGAAAUCUUUGAUCAACGUUUGAAAAGUCAAUCAUAAAUAUGACAGAUGAGUGAAAAGAAUUACUGAAGGGUAAAGGGCAUUAUAUGUUGAUCUUAAAGCAAUGUAAGGUGCGUUCUUUUUUAAAUAAGAAAAAACGAGAUGACAAGUGACGAACCUGGAGCAAACUUCUACACAAGUUAUGAUUUUAUUUAUGAAUGCAUUUGGAUAUAAAAUGUAGACUUGUAAACUGGGAAAAGUAUAUGACAGGAAAUACUGUUGGAGGUUUUUGUGGUUGGAGUUUUUCAUUAGAAUCACAGAUUUAUCUUCUGGGGUGUAACUGGUAAAGACAUUAGUUAUUGGUGUUAAUACCAUUCUAUAUUGAGUGUUAAUCAGACGGUGAUAAGGUGUUAUAAUUGUUGUUGUUAAUUAGAUUGGAUGAAGACAUGACGAGGAAUUAAUGAAGCGGAUAUAGUGAUAAUAGAGAGAAACUUGAAGACCUUAUUUCCAUGGAGUGAAAAUUGUACAUUAUGUUAGUAUUAGUUAGACGAUGAUUAUAGAAAGUCAAUUCACGUAGACAGGGAACCAAUGCAAUAACAGUCCAUGUGUGAAAAAGAACGGUCUUUAUUUCAGACAUACAAAAUGUGAUGUGGUUCUGAAAUUGGGUAUAUUGCAAAAUGGAUGACAAGAGGUGUUUAAAGGCAUUCUGUAUACAGUUAGUCGUUCAUAAUUUAUUCAACUAAUACCAAAGAAUUAGAUAAACGUAAUAAUUAUUUCAUCAAAGUAUUAAAUACGAUGCCUUUAGUAGACAGAGAUUGUUGUGCCUCGUAUAAAGUGUUGGUAUUAGGGGAAGCAUCUGUAGGGAAGACUGCCCUAGUGAAUUGUUUGAUGGGUAGAGAAUUUAGAGAAAGUAUGGUGCCAACAAUUGGUGUAGAUUUUGUCAAGAAGAUAUUUGAAGUUGAUGGCGCAUUGAUACAGCUAGUCAUAUGGGAUACGGCAGGUCAACAAAGAUUUCGGACAAUAACAAGACUUCAAUAUAGAGGUGUUCAGGGUAUAGUUUUGGUUUACGAUGCAACAAAUCCCUCGUCGUUUUCUCAUUUAGCCUACUGGAUUUCGAGUGUACAUAAGGAGAUGAAACAGGCUCACAAUCAAUAUGAACCAAUACCAAUUGUUUUAUGUGGUAAUAAAAAUGAUUUAGAAGACAAAAAACUAGUCAAACGAUCAAAGGCAUAUGAGUUGGCACAGAAAGAGAUGGCAUUUGAAUUCUUUGAAACCAGUGCUAAAACAGGAAGUAACGUAUUUACGGCUUUUCAACGAUUGGCGUUUCACAUUACAGAUAUAUGUAAUCCCAAACUUAUGGUGUCCUACCAUCCUUAUAUGAUCAGGCGACUUGAAGACAUAGAACCUGAUUUACCUAAACAACAGAAAAACACAAAGAAAAAGAAUAAGAAGAAAUUCAAAGUAAAAAAGAUUAAAGAAGGCAAAACGAAGGAAGCCAAGAUACUGUCAGUAUCAAAGACUGAUAUCAAAGACAAUCCUAAACAAUGUGCUCCCUUUAAAGGUUUAUGCUGCCUACUACCACAAAAACAGGAACCAUCCUGACGGUUUCAUUAGUGUUACUCCUAGUGUGUAAAGCUCUACCAAAUACUGACGAUGCUGUAUAAACAAUUGCGACCACAAUCAAGGGAUGUGGUUUAAUAAGUUUACCUUUACAGCCACCACUUAAUUCAUAAAUUGAAAGUAUUGUACAGUAAAUAAAAUAUGUUACACAGAUUAUAAGAUUUCCUGAACUGUAAACUUCGGUAUCUGGAAGUCAAAGAAAGAGACAUAUAUAUUCUUUUUUGCGUUCAGACAAUUAAAGCCGGAUUGACACCACUUUAAGGUGUUUAUAUAAGAUCCUGAUACAAGGGAAAUGGAAUCUAAAAUGUAAAAGGAGUAUAGAAAUUCCUAUUCUGUCUCGAUAUAAAUAACAAUCUCGUAUCUAUUGAAUAAAUCUGAAUAUUUUCAUUUGGACUCACCGAAAUAGACUAUUAGACAAUUAUCAUAUAGAUAAAGGUAUAUGUAUGUCUGAAUACAGUCAUUUAUAUCAAAUUACUCUCG